rnacentral:rRNA from 1 species
UACGUAGGGUGCGAGCGUUGUCCGGAAUUAUUGGGCGUAAAGAGCUCGUAGGCGGUUUGUCGCGUCUGCUGUGAAAACCUAAGGCUCAACCUUGGGCUUGCAGUGGGUACGGGCAGACUAGAGUGCGGUAGGGGUGACUGGAAUUCCUGGUGUAGCGGUGGAAUGCGCAGAUAUCAGGAGGAACACCGAUGGCGAAGGCAGGUCACUGGGCCGCAACUGACGCUGAGGAGCGAAAGCUAGGGGGAGCGAAAGGG